rnacentral:rRNA from 1 species
CGAAGGGUGCAAGCGUUACUCGGAAUUACUGGGCGUAAAGCGUGCGUAGGUGGUUCGUUAAGUCUGAUGUGAAAGCCCUGGGCUCAACCUGGGAAUGGCACUGGAAACUGGCGACCUAGAGUGCGGUAGAGGGUAGUGGAAUUCCCGGUGUAGCAGUGAAAUGCGUAGAGAUCGGGAGGAACAUCCGUGGCGAAGGCGGCUACCUGGACCAGCACUGACACUGAGGCACGAAAGCGUGGGGAGCAAACAGGAUUAGAUACCCCGGUAGUCCACGCCCUAAACGAUGCGAACUGGAUGUUGGGUGCAACUAGGCACUCAGUAUCGAAGCUAACGCGUUAAGUUCGCCGCCUGGGGAGUACGGUCGCAAGACUG